GGCUGUAUUCCGGGAAAACUGAAAAUUCAGGCUUGGUAGUGUCGAUAUUUGGUGGUGCGCCAACGCCUGACAACAGAAGUGUUGGUUCCGUCGACUUGAAAUCAACUUUCGAAUCAGCACCAAAACAAAUUUGCCUGAUAACUACUGUGUGUGUUGAUGUAGCUUCGUUGGCUUAGUGGUUGGUGUGUAUGCUUGAAGAGUCUGAGGAGGCAUAAACACACGAUUUCCAAUACAGGUAGCUAAGGAGACCGAACGAUGGAGAAGUACUCAAUGCUUCUAACUGCCACAGUGCUUGCAAUACUUGGAACAGCACUAGCAGACGACGGUGCAUGGAGCGUCCCUACAUGGAUCCCCAUUGUAGCAGGAGCUACUGUCUUAGUUCUUGUGUUUGCACUCUGUAUUUUUGGCGACAAAAAGAGUGAAUACGAUGGGGCGCGUCAAGAGAAGGGAGGAAUAGAGGGCAGACAGAAAUAAAAGAUCCUGCAUUGUGUAUCAAAACAUUAUCUAAUUAAUUUAUAUCAUUUCUGGCUUUAGAUGUAUGUGUGUUUAUUAAUAAUAGCCUUAACUAAAUAUUUUUAAUGUAAAGGAAAGAAUCGGACUGCAUGGGAUCUCAUUUAUUUUUCUUUAGUCUUUGAACUACAUUUGUGAUUUUAUAAGUGAUUUUGUUUAGCUAUUUGAUAAAGGUGUAUUCAUGGUGAGAAAGUCAAACAAAAACUAAUGUAUAAUUACGGGAUGCGUUCUGGACCUUCGACUCAAAGGUCUUGGGUUCAAACACUGCUCUUCGCCAUUCCUGACCAUCCGACGGUAGUGAUAGGAUGUAAUGAUAAUAUUCAAUUCUAAAUAAACACAGAAAACAUGUAAAACAAAACAGACUAUUGUCAGAGUUCUUUUUAUUGCUUUGGCUUGACUUGGCUCCUUAGAGUCGUUGUGGAUUACUUAAAUACUCAAUAACAAUUAAUUACUACUUGCUUGGCUCAUUAAGGGUCACACAAAUAAGAACAAUUAAUACUCAAUAUACUUCAACUCUAGCUCAGCUCUCAAUGAAUACCAAAAACUCUUUAAUAUCAAAUAAAGCACACAAUGAUAUCAAUC